rnacentral:rRNA from 1 species
UAGUCCACGCCGUAAACGAUGAUCACUAGACGUUAGUUCUGUUUUACAGGAUUAGUGUCGCAGCUAACGCGUUAAGUGAUCCGCCUGGGGACUACGGUCGCAAGACUAAAACUUAAAGGAAUUGACGGGGGCCCGCACAAGCGGUGGAACAUGUGGUUUAAUUCGACAAUACGCGAGGAACCUUACCUAGGCUUGACAUGUAUUCGACAACUGCAGAGAUGUGGCUUUCCAAGCUUCGGUUUGGACGGAUACACAGGUGCUGCAUGGCUGUCGUCAGCUCGUGUCGUGAGAUGUUGGGUUAAGUCCUCUAACGAGCGCAACUCCUACUGUCAGUUGCUAUCUGCUUGCAGAGCACUCUGACGGGACUGCCUAGGGGAAACCAGGGAGGGAAGGUGGGGAAUGACGUCAAGUCAUC